rnacentral:rRNA from 1 species
CCUGGGGAGUACGGCCGCAAGGUUAAAACUCAAAUGAAUUGACGGGGGCCCGCACAAGCGGUGGAGCAUGUGGUUUAAUUCGAUGCAACGCGAAGAACCUUACCUGGUCUUGACAUCCACGGAAGUUUUCAGAGAUGAGAAUGUGCCUUCGGGAACCGUGAGACAGGUGCUGCAUGGCUGUCGUCAGCUCGUGUUGUGAAAUGUUGGGUUAAGUCCCGCAACGAGCGCAACCCUUAUCCUUUGUUGCCAGCGGUCCGGCCGGGAACUCAAAGGAGACUGCCAGUGAUAAACUGGAGGAAGGUGGGGAUGACGUCAAGUCAUCAUGGCCCUUACGACCAGGGCUACACACGUGCUACAAUGGCGCAUACAAAGAGAAGCGACCUCGCGAGAGCAAGCGGACCUCAUAAAGUGCGUCGUAGUCCGGAUUGGAGUCUGCAACUCGACUCCAUGAAGUCGGAAUCGCUA